UACGGAGGGUGCGAGCGUUGUCCGGAAUCACUGGGCGUAAAGGGCGCGUAGGCGGCUUCUUAAGCGUGUGGUGAAAGCUCGGGGCUCAACCUCGAGUCGGCCAUGCGAACUGGGAGGCUUGAGCACUGUAGAGGCAGGUGGAAUUCCGGGUGUAGCGGUGGAAUGCGUAGAGAUCGGGAAGAACAUCAGUGGCGAAGGCGGCCUGCUGGGCUGUUGCUGACGCUGAGGCGCGACAGCGUGGGGAGCAAACAGG
rnacentral:rRNA from 1 species